CCUACGGGUGGCAGCAGUGGGGAAUAUUGCACAAUGGGGGAAACCCUGAUGCAGCGAAGCCGCGUGAAGGAAGAAGUAUUUCGGUAUGUAAACUUCUAUCAGCAGGGAAGAAAGUGACGGUACCUGACUCAGAAGCCCCGGCUAACUACGUGCCAGCAGCCGCGGUAAUACGUAGGGGGCAAGCGUUAUCCGGAUUUACUGGGGGUAAAGGGGGCGUAGGCGGGGAUGCAAGUCAGAAGUGAAAGCCCGGGGGUCAAAUCCGGGACUGCUUUUGAAACUGUAUGGCUAGAUUGCAGGAGAGGCAUGUGGAAUUCGUAGUGUAGCGGUGAAAUGCGUAGAUAUUAGGCGGAACACCAGUGGCGAAGGCGGCAUGCUGGACUGUAAAUGACGCUGAGGCUCGAAAGCGUGGGGAGCGAGCAGGAUUAGAUACCCUUGUAGUC
rnacentral:rRNA from 1 species